CUGGGCGUUAAGUUGCAGGGUAUAGACCCGAAACCCGGUGAUCUAGCCAUGGGCAGGUUGAAGGUUGGGUAACACUAACUGGAGGACCGAACCGACUAAUGUUGAAAAAUUAGCGGAUGACUUGUGGCUGGGGGUGAAAGGCCAAUCAAACCGGGAGAUAGCUGGUUCUCCCCGAAAGCUAUUUAGGUAGCGCCUCGUGAAUUCAUCUCCGGGGGUAGAGCACUGUUUCGGCAAGGGGGUCAUCCCGACUUACCAACCCGAUGCAAACUGCGAAUACCGGAGAAUGUUAUCACGGGAGACACACGGCGGGUGCUAACGUCCGUCGUGAAGAGGGAAACAACCCAGACCGCCAGCUAAGGUCCCAAAGUCAUGGUUAAGUGGGAAACGAUGUGGGAAGGCCCAGACAGCCAGGAUGUUGGCUUAGAAGCAGCCAUCAUUUAAAGAAAGCGUAAUAGCUCACUGGUCGAGUCGGCCUGCGCGGAAGAUGUAACGGGGCUAAACCAUGCACCGAAGCUGCGGCAGCGACGCUGAUGCGUUGUUGGGUAGGGGAGCGUUCUGUAAGCCUGCGAAGGUGUGCUGUGAGGCAUGCUGGAGGUAUCAGAAGUGCGAAUGCUGACAUAAGUAACGAUAAAGCGGGUGAAAAGCCCGCUCGCCGGAAGACCAAGGGUUCCUGUCCAACGUUAAUCGGGGCAGGGUGAGUCGACCCCUAAGGCGAGGCCGAAAGGCGUAGUCGAUGGGAAACAGGUUAAUAUUCCUGUACUUGGUGUUACUGCGAAGGGGGGACGGAGAAGGCUAUGUUGGCCGGGCGACGGUUGUCCCGGUUUAAGCGUGUAGGCUGGUUUUCCAGGCAAAUCCGGAAAAUCAAGGCUGAGGCGUGAUGACGAGGCACUACGGUGCUGAAGCAACAAAUGCCCUGCUUCCAGGAAAAGCCUCUAAGCAUCAGGUAACAUCAAAUCGUACCCCAAACCGACACAGGUGGUCAGGUAGAGAAUACCAAGGCGCUUGAGAGAACUCGGGUGAAGGAACUAGGCAAAAUGGUGCCGUAACUUCGGGAGAAGGCACGCUGAUAUGUAGGUGAAGU
rnacentral:rRNA from 1 species